CCCUGCAUUAUUGUUACCGGUUCAAGUUAAGCAGAGGGUUCACUGGUAAAUCACUACCAAUUGCUCCUCCCCUGGAAUAGGAUCUGAUUUGCUGCAACAUCUCGCUCUCUCUACCUACAAACAUCAGAUCAAUCCUCACAGGUAGUCGGAUUCCAUUUCUGCCAAGCUUUCUUCAUCUUUGAACUUUCAAAUUUAUUGGUUUUCUAUAAAAUCGUUAACCUUUUAUUUGUCCCAUUUAUUUUUAAUAUUAAUAUUGGCUCGCUUAAACUUGAUUCAUAACAUUGCAUAUUGAAGUAUAAUGAUGGGCUUUCCCUAAAAAUUAAGUCUUUUAUCUUAUCGUAAUGCUACUUCUGUGUUUUGAAAGGAAAACAAAGAAAAGAAAAUAAAUUUGCAGGUAGAUUGUGAAUGUGUGGUGAAGUUGCAUUUAUUUUCUCUAAUUUGUUCGUGUUGGCCUAAAAUUGGGAAUUAUCACUUGAACAUGAUUUUCCUUCUUUUGGUAUAGUGGAGCUAAGCGUUGGGUUCAUAUAAUCAUAUGGAGAUGGAGUUUGAAUGCUAGGAAAAUGCAAUAGAUUCAAGCUGAAUUCAAUGUUGUUAUAAACCCAUAAGAAGUCAAUAUUGAGGGAAAAAUGAAUUUAAUUAUUGCUCUAAUUAAAUAACUUGUAGGGCAUUCUCAAGAAGUAAAUACAAACACAGACUUUCAGAAAAAAGAGAGAGAGAAUCAUAAAGAAAGAUAGAAGAAGAAUGGAGCAGGAAAACGGAGAAGAAGAAAUUUUAGAUAAGAGACUUUGUCAGAUUUCCAUUGCUACCUUCCUCCACUGCUCCUUUAUUAAUUCAUGAACUUGUUUAUUUGAUGUUGAUGUGUACUCACAUCUUCACUAAUCAUCUUCAUUAUGUAACUCACUUGACUUAUCUAACUAAUCUUCCCUCACAUCUAAAAUCAUAUCCAUGUCUUUGACCUGCUGCAAUGGAUUUUUAGAUUUGAAUCUAAGAAGCCUCAACCUAUGUUAGAAUGGGUAAGUUAUGUGCAAAUCUCAUGUGGACGAAGUCAUCUGACUUUCUUAUACCAUUCUUCUUUCAUUAGUAAAUUGACCAAUGUGGUAGUAUCCGAUGAGCUAUGCUGGACGCUACAAUCUUUAUUUACAAGAAUAAAUCUAUAUUCUUAAUAUAUCUAGUGCCUCUGCGUGUUUAAUAUAUAGCCAGUGCCUGAUUUCCAUUCAACCUGCUCAGAUUUACAAUGGAACUUCUUGAUAUUCUGGCAAUGAUCAUUUCAGUGAUACUAAUUGCUAGGAUCAGCUCAUGUCUAGAUACUGCAGUUCAAGUGAAGUGUCCAAGCUGCUAAACAAUCUCAAGAUGUGCAAUUACUUCUCGAUACGUUCAGUAGGGUGUUUAGUAAUAUAUACAAAUUUACAGAAAACUGUUAAUCUAGUCGGCAACAAAACUUUAGACACAAUUCGAGACAACCACUAAUUUGUUUCCAGAAUUCACCAGAUUUACUCCUUUUCCCAUCUUCUUCAGGUCCAUGCACCUUAUCUUGACAAAUAUGUUACAAAAUCCUACUUUAGGAAACAUGACAAUUUGGUAGACUUGAAGUUUGAAGAUUUUAUUGCACAUGACGUACUGUCCAGCGCAUGUGUAUCACUGCAAGACAACAUCAAGUUUGUACCAAAACUAUCUGCUUUACAUCGAAAUCUGAUUGGUGAAGGCUCCCAUAGGCGUCUGUCAUCAUCUCUCAGAUUGAAGAUGUCAUCGGAGUCCGUUUCCAGGCCUCCAAAAUCUUGUGAGGUGAUAAUUGUUGACACACUGCCUUCUGGAGUCUUUGCAGAUCCUUUUGAGCUACAACACCUUGUGCAGCGUGGUGUUCUUAGGGAAGGUGCUGUAUUUGGAGAUACAAAUUUAGAGUUGCCCUCAUUUCGGUCAAACCGGUCACUUGUUGAGGUUCAUCUGGAAAUGGGUUCCAAUUUAAUAUCAGAACAAAAGGAUGAACAGGAAAUACACAUGGAACUUCCUCUACAUGCACGUUAUCAGGUACAUCACGUAAAAUUAUGUAGGAAUCGCUGAAGUACGUAUCAAGCAUCCAAGCCACUAGGACACAGAUUCUCAAGAGUCGAAUUUGCUGCACCUGACUUGUUUCUGCGUUGCAACACUAAAGGAAAACAACAUGACAUGAGCUGUUUGUUUUCGCUAGACAAACAGAGUGCAGAGUCGAAUGAUCGUCAUCCUUUGUGGGAAGUACGAUGUGGAAGUAGAGAACACAUGGAAAUUGUAUCUGCGUUUACUUUCUUCUCAGCUGUUGUAUCAGCUCUUCUCAUCAUUGUUGCCUCAAUUAGGUAUUCUGGUGAAACAGCGUUGAAACAGCCGUGAGUAAUGAUUAACUUUGGCACCUAUUCUUUCCCCUUUCUGGACGUUUAACCAUUGGCAAGAGAAACUCACUUGAUGCUAGUUACAAGUUACAACACUGAACAUUGGCACACGGAGAAGGAGCAGGGCUCUGGAUGUUGCUCCACUAACACUUAUGUGUGUUGUAUGGAGAGAAAGAAAUAGAAGAGCUUUUGAAGGGGUAGAGAAGAAUUAUGUACAGUUGAGGAGUCGUCUCUUAUCCUUAUUUCCUGUUGGUGCACCCGUGAGAUCCCUCUAGCUAUAGAAGAUUGAGUGUAGCAUGUCGAAAAUCUUAUUUUGUGUAGGUUUUCUAUUUUUUGGUAUACUUAUUGUAUAAGAGUGAUUAUUUUUGCCCAAACAUUAAUAAACCUUUUCACUUUAUCAAAUACAAGGUAUACUCUUGAACGUGUACCAAAUAAUGCA